CCAGAGGGUUGGGCGGUCGCCGGCAUGGUUUGCCAUGCGGGAGGAAAGUCCGGGCUCCACGAAACAACGGUGCCGGAUAACGUCCGGCGGGGGUGACCCCAGGGAAAGUGCAACAGAGAGCAGGUCGCCCAGUCUUUAUGGCUAAGGCUUCGGCCAGGCGAAGGUGAAAGGGUGCGGUAAAAGCGCACCGCGGCCCCAGCAAUGGGGACGGCAUGGUAAACCCCACCGGGAGCAAAACCGAAUAGGGGCGGCGCGGAGGUUUACGCUUCCUAGGCCAGUUUCGGCCGAGAUCGCCCGGGUUGGUUGCUUGAGCCGCGCAGCAAUGCACGGCCUAGAGGAAUGGCCGCACAGUCCCGUAAGGGAUGGACAGAACCCGGCUUACAGACCCUCUGGCGAU
rnacentral:RNase_P_RNA from 1 species